rnacentral:rRNA from 1 species
CGAACGGGUGAGUAACGCGUAAACAACCUGCCCAACGGAUGGGGACAACAGACGGAAACGACUGCUAAUACCCAAUAGACUCCGGUUUCGCAUGAAACCGACAGGAAAGGUGGCCUCUCGAAGAAGCUACCGCCGCAGGAGGGGUUUGCGUUUGAUUAGUUAGUUGGUGGGGUAACGGCCUACCAAGACGAUGAUCAAUAGCCGGUCUGAGAGGAUGAACGGCCACACUGGAACUGAGACACGGUCCAG